UACAGAGGUCUCAAGCGUUUGUUCGGAUUUCAUUGGGCGUAAAGGGUGCGUAGGCGGCGCGGUAAGUCGGGUGUGAAAUCUCGGAGCUUAACUCCGAAACUGCAUUCGAUACUGCCGUGCUUGAGGACUGGAGAGGAGACUGGAAAUUCAUGGUGUAGCAGUGAAAAUGCGUAGAGAUCAUGAGGAAGGCCAGUGGCGAAGGCGGGUCUCUGGACACUCCUGACACUGAGGAGCGAAAAGCCCAGGGGAGCAAAACGGG
rnacentral:rRNA from 1 species